CCUCCCUUCCUUCUUCCGGCGCGUUUCCCGUCGUGCACCGCGGGGCGGUUGGGGCAGAGCGGGACAAGAUGGCGGACGUGCUGGAUCUCCAUGAACCGAGCGGGGAGGACUUUGCUAUGGAUGAGGAUGGCGACGAAAGCAUCCACAAACUGAAGGAGAAGGCCAAGAAGAGGAAAGGCCGCGGGUUCGGAUCCGAGGAAGGAUCGAGGGCUCGAGUGCGGGAGGACUAUGACAGUGUGGAACAGGACGGGGAUGAGCCGGGACCACAGCGCUGUGAGUGGGGGGG